GGGUGUAUAGCUCAGUGGAUUAGAGCGUCCCGUUCACAUCGGGAAGGUCAUUGGUUCAAAUCCAAUUACGCCCA
rnacentral:tRNA from 1 species